AGCCCCGAAGUAGCUGUAGUACAUUGGAUUGCAAAUCCAAAGACGGAGGUUAACCCCCUCCCGGGGCUU
rnacentral:tRNA from 1 species